rnacentral:rRNA from 1 species
CCUACGGGUGGCAGCAGUGAGGAAUAUUGGUCAAUGGACGAGAGUCUGAACCAGCCAAGUAGCGUGAAGGAUGACUGCCCUAUGGGUUGUAAACUUCUUUUAUAUGGGAAUAAAAUGUUCCACGUGUGGGAUUUUGUAUGUACCAUAUGAAUAAGGAUCGGCUAACUCCGUGCCAGCAGCCGCGGUAAUACGGAGGUACCGAGCGUUAUCCGGAUUUAUUGGGUUUAAAGGGAGCGUAGGUGGAUUGUUAAGUCAGUUGUGAAAGUUUGCGGCUCAACCGUUAAAUUGCAGUUGAAACUGGCAGUCUUGAGUACAGUAGAGGUGGGCGGAAUUCGUGGUGUAGCGGUGAAAUGCUUAGAUAUCACGAAGAACUCCGAUUGCGAAGGCAGUUCACUGGACUGCAACUGACACUGAGGCUCGAAAGUGUGGGUAUCAAACAGGAUUAGAUACCCGAGUAGUC